GUAGGUGGCAAGCGUUGUCCGGAAUUAUUGGGCGUAAAGCGCGCGCAGGUGGUUCUUUAAGUCUGAUGUGAAAGCCCCCGGCUCAACCGGGGAGGGUCAUUGGAAACUGGGGAACUUGAGUGCAGGAGAGGAAUGUGGAAUUCCACGUGUAGCGGUGAAAUGCGUAGAUAUGUGGAGGAACACCAGUGGCGAAGGCGACUUUCUGGCCUGUAACUGACACUGAGGCGCGAAAGCGUGGGGAGCAAACAGGGAUUAGAUACCCUGGUAGUCCACGCCGUAAACGAUGAGUGCUAAGUGUUGGGGGGGUUUCCCGCCCCUCAGUGCUGCAGCUAACGCAUUAAGCACUCCGCCUGGGGAUACGGUCGCAAGACUG
rnacentral:rRNA from 1 species